UACGGAGGAUCCAAGCGUUAUCCGGAAUUACUGGGCGUAAAGAGUUGCGUAGGUGGCAGAGUAAGCGAAGCAUUAAAUCUUGAGGCUCAACCUCGAGGCUAUGCUUUGAACUACUCAGCUUGAGAAUGAGAGAGGUAGAUGGAAUUGCUAGUGUAGGAGUGAAAUCCGUAGAUAUUAGUAGGAACACCGAUGGCGUAGGCAGUCUACUGGCUCAUUUCUGACACUAAGGCACGAAAGCGUGGGGAGCGAACGGG
rnacentral:rRNA from 1 species